ACCACGGUGGUCUAGCGGAUAGAACGCUGGCCUUGUAAUCCUGGGGUCUCGGGUUCGAUUCCCGGCGGUG
rnacentral:tRNA from 1 species